rnacentral:rRNA from 1 species
CUACGGGAGGCAGCAGUGAGGAAUAUUGCACAAUGGGCGAAAGCCUGAUGCAGCAACGCCGCGUGGAGGAUGACGCAUUUCGGUGUGUAAACUCCUUUUAUAUGUCAAGAAAAUGACGGUAGCAUAUGAAUAAGCACCGGCUAACUCCGUGCCAGCAGCCGCGGUAAUACGGAGGGUGCAAGCGUUACUCGGAAUCACUGGGCGUAAAGGACGCGUAGGCUGUUUAGCAAGUCAGAUGUGAAAUCCAAUGGCUCAACCAUUGAACUGCAUUUGAAACUGCUAGACUAGAGUAUGGGAGGGGGAGAUGGAAUUAGUGGUGUAGGGGUAAAAUCCGUAGGUAUCACUAGGAAUACCUAAAGCGAAGGCGAUCUCCUGGAACAUUACUGACGCUAAGGCGUGAAAGCGUGGGGAGCAAACAGGAUUAGAUACCCCUGUAGUC